UACGAAGGGGGCUAGCGUUGCUCGGAAUUACUGGGCGUAAAGCGCACGUAGGCGGCUCUUUAAGUCGGAGGUGAAAUCCUGGAGCUCAACUCCAGAACUGCCUUGAUACUGAAGAUCUUGAGUUCGGGAGAGGUGAGUGGAACUGCGAGUGUAGAGGUGAAAUUCGUAGAUAUUCGCAAGAACACCAGUGGCGAAGGCGGCUCACUGGCCCGAUACUGACGCUGAGGCACGAAAGCGUGGGAGCA
rnacentral:rRNA from 1 species